UCCUCGGUAGUCCAGUAGUUAGGACUCUGUGCUUUCACUGCUGAAGGCCCGGUUUCAAUCCUUGGUCGGGGAA
rnacentral:tRNA from 1 species